CUACGUGCCAGCAGCCGCGGUCAUACGUAGGGUGCAAGCAUUAUCCGGAGUGACUGGGCGUAAAGAGUUGCGUAGGCGGUUUAAUAAGUGAAUAGUGAAACCUGGUGGCUCAACCAUACAGACUAUUAUUCAAACUGUUAAACUCGAGAAUGGUAGAGGUAACUGGAAUUUCUAGUGUAGGAGUGAAAUCCGUAGAUAUUAGAAGGAACACCGAUGGCGUAGGCAGGUUACUGGGCCAUUUCUGACGCUAAGGCACGAAAGCGUGGGGAGCGAACCGGAUUAGAUACCCGGGUAGUCCACGCCGUAAACGAUGGAUACUAGCUGUUGGAGGUAUCGACCCCUUCAGUAGCGAAGCUAACGCGUUAAGUAUCCCGCCUGUGGAGUACGGCCGCAAGGCUAAAACAUAAAGGAAUUGACGGGGACCCGCACAAGCGGUGGAUUAUGUUCUUUAAUUCGAAGCAACGCGAAGAACCUUACCAGGUCUUGACAUCCCUCUGACCGCUCUAGAGAUAGAGCUUUC
rnacentral:rRNA from 1 species